rnacentral:rRNA from 1 species
UACGUAGGGACCGAGCGUUGUCCGGAAUCAUUGGGCGUAAAGAGCGUGUAGGCGGCUCGCUAAGUCUUGCGUGAAAUCUCGGGGCUCAACCCCGAGCGGUCGUGAGAAACUGGCGGGCUUGAGGUCAGAAGGGGAAAGUGGAAUUCCGGGUGUAGUGGUGGAAUACGUAGAUAUCCGGAGGAACACCAGCGGCGAAGGCGGCUUUCUGGUCUGAUACUGACGCUGAGGCGCGAAAGCGUGGGGAGCGAUCCGG